rnacentral:rRNA from 1 species
UACGAACUGUGCGACCGUUAUUCGGAAUCACUGGGCUUACAGGGUGCGUAGGCGGCUAUUCAGGUCAGGUGUGAAAGCCCCCGGCUCAACCGGGGAACUGCGCUUGAAACCGAGUGGCUCGAGUCAGCUAGAGGUACACGGAACUUCCAGUGGAGCGGUGAAAUGUGUUGAUAUUGGAAGGAACACCGGAGGCGAAAGCGGUGUACUGGGGCUGGUCUGACGCUGAGGCGCGAAAGCUAUGGGAGCAAACGGG